CUACGGGUCGCAGCAGUGGGGAAUCUUAGACAAUGUGGGAAACCCUGAUCUGGCCAUGCCGCGUGAGUGAAGAAGGCCCUAGGGUUGUAAAGCUCUUUCAAUAGUGAGGAUAAUGACAGUAGCUAUAGAAGAAGCCCCGGCUAACUUCGUGCCAGCAGCCGCGGUAAUACGAAGGGGGCGAGCGUUGUUCGGAAUUACUGGGCGUAAAGAGUACGUAGGCGGAUUGGUCAGUUAGAAGUGAAAGCCUUGGGCUUAACCCGAGAAUUGCUUUUAAUACUGCCGGUCUUGAAUCCUGGAGAGGAUAGGGGAAUUCCCAGUGUAGAGGUGAAAUUCGUAGAUAUUGGGAGGAACACCAGUGGCGUAGGCGCCUAUCUGGACAGGUAUUGACGCUGAGGUACGAAAGCGUGGGGAUCAAACAGGAUUAGAUACCCGGGUAGUC
rnacentral:rRNA from 1 species